GGCCCGGCUGGCGCAAUGGUAGCGCGCAAGACUUCUAGGGAUCCUCUGGAAAUUCCGCAAGCUGCGUAAGCGCUGCAGAAUUUUCAGAGGAAGUUCUGCGACAGCGAUCUUGAGGCUGCGGGUUCGACCCCCGCGUUGGGCUU
rnacentral:tRNA from 1 species